GAUGAACGCUGGCUACAGGCUUAACACAUGCAAGUCGAGGGGCAGCGGGGAGGAUGCUUGCAUUCUCCGCCGGCGACCGGCGCACGGGUGAGUAACGCGUAUCGGACCUGCCUCAUACCCGGGAACAGCCUUGCGAAAGUAAGAUUAAUGCCCGAUGUUCCGCAGAUGCCGCAUGGUGUCUUCGGCAAAGAUUUUUUCGGUAUGAGAUGGCGAUGCGUCCCAUUAGCUUGUUGGCGGGGUAACGUCCACCAAGGCGACGAUGGGUAGGGGUUCUGAGGGGAAGUCCCCCCACAUUGGAACUGAGACACGGGUCCAAACUCCUACGGGAGGCAGCAGUGAGGAAUAUUGGUCAAUGGACGCAAGUCUGAACCAGCCAAGUAGCGUGCA
rnacentral:rRNA from 1 species